rnacentral:rRNA from 1 species
UUGAAAUCUGUUAGUCACAUAUGGUUACGGCACUAAGGUGUUGUAACGUACGUUUGGAAAAAUGGGCCAAGGAGUUUAUCAAAGUGGCGAGGUUAACGAAAGGAGCCGAAGCGAAAGCGAGUAUGAAAAUGCGUUAGUCACUUGGGUAAGACCCGAAGCCGGACGAUCUAUUCGUGGACAAGCUGAAGUUUUCCGAAAGGAGAAUGGAAGGCUGAACCGUUGUUGUGUGCAUGCACUCGAAUGAUCUGCGAAUAGGGGUGAAAAGCCUAUCUAGUUCGGCGAUGGCUGGUUCCUGUUGAAAUAUGCCUCAGUAUAGUCUCACUUAGUUUGUUGGCGGGGUAAAGUACGGAUAGAAUUCGCAGGGUCGAAAGAUUACGGAAUUUCUUCCAACUCUGAACCUGUCAGCUGCUUAAAGUGGGAAUCGGGGGCAGCGCGUAAGGUGCUGUUCCGAGACCGGAACAACGGAGACUGGAGUUAAGGUCCCAAAAUGUAUACUAAGUGUAACGAAAGGUGUCUUGAACCUGAGACAGUGGGGAUGUAGGCCCAGAAGCAGCCAACAUUUAAAGAAAGCGUAAUAGCUCACCUAUCGAGGUUCGAGGCCCUGAAAAUGGACGGGGCUAAGUAUACUACCGAUACUCCGGAGGCGCUCAGAUGAGCGUUCUGGUAAGCAGGCGUCUGUUCUGCGCAGAAGUUUUUUCGUAAGAAAGGAUGGAGCGGGACGGAAUGAGAAUCUUGGCGUUAGUAAGAUCAGAUCAACCUGAGAAUGGUUGGCGUCGCAAGAGCAAGGUUUCCUUGGCAAUAUCGUUUAACCAAGGGUUAGUCGGUACCUAAGCUAUACCUUAACUGAGUAUAGCGAAUGGAAAUCAGGUUAAUAUUCCUGAACUAAUCAAACUUUGCAUAUAA